rnacentral:snRNA from 1 species
UGCUUGCUUUGGCAGCAAUAGAUUAAAAUUGGAAUGGUAAUAGAGAAGAUUAGCAUGGCCCCUAGGCAAGGAGGAAACAUUAAGAUGGAGAACAACAGACUUGC